rnacentral:rRNA from 1 species
UGGGGAAUAUUGCACAAUGGAGGGAACUCUGAUGCAGCGACGCCGCGUGAACGAAGAAGGCUUUCGAGUCGUAAAGUUCUUUUAUAUGGGAAGAUAAUGACGGUACCAUAAGAAGAAGCCCCGGCUAACUACGUGCCAGCAGCCGCGGUAAUACGUAGGGGGCUAGCGUUGUCCGGAAUCACUGGGCGUAAAGGGUUCGCAGGCGGAAAUGCAAGUCAGGUGUAAAAGGCAGUAGCUUAACUACUGUAAGCAUUUGAAACUGCAUAUCUUGAGAAGAGUAGAGGUAAGUGGAAUUUCUAGUGUAGCGGUGAAAUGCGUAGAUAUUAAAAAGAAUACCGGUGGCGAAGGCGACUUACUGGGCUCAUUCUGACGCUGAGGAACGAAAGCGUGGGUAGCAAACAGG